GGAUGUGAGGGCCACCUGGCUGUGACAUCCAUCACCCCAUUGAUUGCCACGGUUGAUUUGGCUGAUCUGGCUGGCUAGGUGGGUGUCCCCUUCCUCCCUCACCGCUCCAUGGGCGACCCUCCUGAAGCAAUGGAAAAGAACGACCUUCCCCGAAUAGAGGAGGGCUGGCCUUCAGUCAGGGUUAUAUGAGUAGCUAUGCUCCCUGCUAGAACCCCCAAACAAGCUCUGAAGAACCCAUUCAGGCUUCUACAGAGUGGUGGUGCCACAGGGUAAGAGCUCCAGUCCCUCUGU
rnacentral:snRNA from 1 species